rnacentral:lncRNA from 1 species
AUCCGAUCUCCAGAAUGUACUGAUCUUGUGCAAUGAACUUGGCAUCCCUUAACUUGGCAUCCCUUCCCUCCCUCCCGCCACACCCCAGACCCCUGGCAACCACCCUUCUGCCUCUUCUUUUCGAUCCCACAUUUAAGUGAGACCACACACAAUUUGUCUUUGGCUCAUCUCACGUAGCAUAAUGUCCUCUGCAGCAUCCUAAUUGUCCGUGGCAUCAUCCAGCUUGACUCGAAUGGCAGGAGCUCCUUCUUUUUAAGGAUUAUAUUAGGAUCAGUAUCUUUUUUCCUGGACCUUAACCUUUCAGGAAACUAAACUUAAGGAGAAUUAGGGUCAGAGGUAAUUUUUCCCUCUCUCUGUGUGUGUGUGUGUGUGUGUGUGUGUGUUUAAACAGGCUCUGAGUCAUGAAAUCCUUGCCUAGCUUUUAUCAGGGAUCAGAAGCGGAGAUCCAGGGGGGACAUCACUGUCGUCAGAGAGAUUAUCAACCUUCCAUGGGAUUCUUAACCAUUGCUGGGCACCAAGCAAAGGUUUUUAAAACAGCCUUUUCUCAGACGGUGCUUGAUAGUGGAAGGCGGGGAUGUCGUUCUUCCUCUGGGGAAGCCUUGGGACAGAAAGAAGCAACUCCUCACCCCACCCUCUCUGCGGGGCCAGCAAGGAAACACCGCCCAGGAGCUCCGUGCGUGGAGCUGGACGGGAGAGGCUCGGAGCUGGGUUUCCUCUUAGAGGAGAAGCAACCCCCCUUCAUUCUUGGGAGGACUCGGGUGCCUGUGGUGAGCAGCAGCCACUGCUCAGUCCUGGGAAACAGAGGAGGGGAUGAGCGGAUGGGGGGAACUGCUCCAACAUCCCAAUAAGUAAAAGCUGCGCAGAUUCCAUAGGAAGAGCCAAGCGAGGCAAGGCGUCCGGGACACAGACGACGACAUACCGCCGUGAACUCACUUCGCCCUGAGCGAAGACCUGGCGGAACUACUUCUCUCAAUAUCAGGUGUCUGUUCCUUGUCACUUCCUCCAUCCCGCUGCUCAGCCUAACCUGUUCCCCCUCCAGAAAACUAAGCCAAACAACGAGCCAACAAAGCCCCCUGCCCUCUGGAGGGGCUGCUCGGUUCCUUUGGGGGCAGAGCGCGAUUACCAAAGGGCAGGACACAGGAGUCCUGAUGCCCACCAGAGGAGGCCGAGCCGAGGGAAGGUGAACCAAGAGGAUGCUUUAUUUUUCUGCUGCAUUUUUCACAAGAAGGAUGUCCUGUAAGAGGCAGGUGGAAUUAUAACUAGAUUCCAGGCAGCAGAUUGGGGAGCUGUCAGGGACGCUGGCUAGGAGCUUGUGUCCCCCCAGAUUCCUAUGUUGAAGCCCUAAUCCCCAGUGUGACUGAAUAUGGAGCUGAGGCCUUUAGGGAGGUGAUGCAGGUCGAACAGGUCAUGAAGGUGGGGCCCUGAUGCAACAGGACUGGUGUCCUUAUAAGAGACACCAGGGAGUUCCUAUCUUGGCUCCACAGAAAUGAAUCUGACUAGUAUCCAUGAGGACAAAAGUUUGAUCCCUGGCCUUGCUCAGUGGGUUAAGGAUCCAGCGUGGCCGUGAGCUGUGGUGUAGGUUGGUGGCCACAGCUCCGUGGGAACAGCUCUGAUUAAACCCCCUAGCCUGGGAACCUCCAUAGGCUGCAUGUGUGGCCCUAAAAGGACAAAAGACAAAAAUAAAUAAAUAAAAAUAAAAAUAAAAAAUAAAGUG